rnacentral:rRNA from 1 species
GACGAACGCUGGCGGCGUGCUUAACACAUGCAAGUCGAACGGAAAGGCCCUGCUUGCAGGGUGCUCGAGUGGCGAACGGGUGAGUAACACGUGGGUGAUCUGCCCCUUACUUUGGGAUAAGCCUGGGAAACUGGGUCUAAUACUGGAUAGGACCAUGCUGUAGGUGGUGUGGUGGAAAGAUUAGUUUCGGUAAGGGAUGAGCUCGCGGCCUAUCAGCUUGUUGGUGGGGUAAUGGCCUACCAAGGCGUCGACGGGUAGCCGGCCUGAGAGGGUGGACGGCCACAUUGGGACUGAGAUGCGGCCCAGACUCCUACGGGAGGCAGCAGUGGGGAAUAUUGCACAAUGGGAGCAAGCCGGAUGCAGCGACGCCGCGUGGGGGAUGACGGCCUUCGGGUUGUAAACUCCUUUCAGCCAUGACGAAGCCCUUGUGGUGACGGUAGUGGUAGAAGAAGCACCGGCUAACUACGUG